GUUUAAAUAAUUUAAAAAAAAAUGUUGAUUUUGUAAAUCAAUUUUGGAAUUUCCUUUAAACA
rnacentral:tRNA from 1 species